rnacentral:rRNA from 1 species
GUCGAACGGUAACAGGAAGCAGCUUGCUGCUUCGCUGACGAGUGGCGGACGGGUGAGUAAUGUCUGGGAAACUGCCUGAUGGAGGGGGAUAACUACUGGAAACGGUAGCUAAUACCGCAUAACGUCGCAAGACCAAAGAGGGGGACCUUCGGGCCUCUUGCCAUCGGAUGUGCCCAGAUGGGAUUAGCUAGUAGGUGGGGUAACGGCUCACCUAGGCGACGAUCCCUAGCUG